AUGGCUCAGGAUGAACGCUGGCGCGUGCCUAAUACAUGGCAAGUCGAGCGAACCACUUCGGUGGUGAGCGGCGAACGGGUGAGUAACACGUAGGUGAUCUGCCCAUCAGACGGGGACAACGAUUGGAAACGAUCGCUAAUACCGGAUAGGACGAAAGUUUAAAGGUGCUUCUGGCACCGCUGAUGGAUGAGCCUGCGGCGCAUUAGCUAGUUGGUAGGGUAAAGGCCUACCAAGGCGACGAUGCGUAGCCGACCUGAGAGGGUGAACGGCCACACUGGGACUGAGACACGGCCCAGACUCCUACGGGAGGCAGCAGUAGGGAAUCUUCGGCAAUGGGCGAAAGCCUGACCGAGCAACGCCGCGUGAAUGAUGAAGGCCUUCGGGUUGUAAAAUUCUGUUAUAAGGGAAGAACGACUUUAGUAGGAAAUGGCUAGAGUGUGACGGUACCUUAUGAGAAAGCCACGGCUAACUACGUG
rnacentral:rRNA from 1 species